rfam:Beta vulgaris subsp. vulgaris Bvchr4.sca002.con0019.1, whole genome shotgun sequence.
GUUCCCAGUGAUGCAAGCUAUACCAUGCUAAUUCUGAUCAACCUGUGAUCGAAUAACUUUCUCUAUUGAUUAGCUGAGGGUUCU